rnacentral:piRNA from 1 species
UGGAAAUCAAGACCACAAGUGGAAGAUGGA